GUCCUGAAGGAACGUUGAAGACGACGACGUUGAUAGGCCGGGUGUGUAAGCGCAGCGAUGCGUUGAGCUAACCGGUACUAAUGAACCGUGAGGCUUAACCUUACAACGCCGAAGGUGUUUUAG
rnacentral:rRNA from 1 species